CCCUGGGAUAGCUCAGUCAGUAGAACAUGAGACCCUUAAUCUCAGGGUUGUGGGUUCGAGACCCAUGUUGGGGG